rnacentral:lncRNA from 1 species
UUUUUGAUUUAAAACACUAUGGCUAACUUUGCAUUAACUAAUCCAAACUAUAAAAAUAAAGCACGCCGUAAUAUUCUUAAUUCGUCGUCCUGAACAUCCAUGACAUAUUUGCCACUGGACGUAAAGCAACCAUUAAUCAAUCAAUCAAUCAAUCAUAUAUACUUAUCCAACGUUCAAGAUAUAUCAUAUAAGAUAUCUUAUAAACUUUAUAAGAUAUCUUAUAUAACAAACAUCUGUAAAUCUAAGUUAUCACCAUCUUCGCUAGCCAAGGGUUACGAUCGACUUCCCUCCUCUUCACAUGGAGAGGAGGGAAGUGGAUAGUAACCCUU